rnacentral:rRNA from 1 species
AGGGAAUCUUCCGCAAUGGACGCAAGUCUGACGGAGCAACGCCGCGUGAGCGAUGAAGGUCUUCGGAUCGUAAAGCUCUGUUGUCAGGGAAGAACAAGUAUCGGAGUAACUGCCGGUACCUUGACGGUACCUGACCAGAAAGCCACGGCUAACUACGUGCCAGCAGCCGCGGUAAUACGUAGGUGGCAAGCGUUGUCCGGAAUUAUUGGGCGUAAAGCGCGCGCAGGCGGUCCUUUAAGUCUGAUGUGAAAGCCCCCGGCUCAACCGGGGAGGGUCAUUGGAAACUGGGGGACUUGAGUGCAGAAGAGAAGAGCGGAAUUCCACGUGUAGCGGUGAAAUGCGUAGAGAUGUGGAGGAACACCAGUGGCGAAGGCGGCUCUUUGGUCUGUAACUGACGCUGAGGCGCGAAAGCGUGGGGAGCGAAC